AUGAACGCUAGCUACAGGCUUAACACAUGCAAGUCAGGGGCAGCAUGAUUUGUGCUUGCACAAAUUGAUGGCGACCGGCGCACGGGUGCGUAACGCGUAUCCAAUCUACCCAUAGCUCAGGGAUAGCCUUUCGAAAGAAAGAUUAAUACCUGAUGGUUCGUUUUUCCGCAUGGAGAGGCGAAUAAAGAUUUAUCGGCUAUGGAUGAGGAUGCGACUGAUUAGGUUGUUGGCGGGGUAACGGCCCACCAAGCCUACGAUCAGUAGGGGUUCUGAGAGGAAGGUCCCCCACAUUGGAACUGAGACACGGUCCAAACUCCUACGGGAGGCAGCAGUGAGGAAUAUUGGUCAAUGGACGGAAGUCUGAACCAGCCAAGUAGCGUGAAGGAUGACUGCCCUAUGGGUUGUAAACUUCUUUUGUUUGGGAAUAAAGUGAGCCACGUGUGGCUUUUUGUAUGUACCUUACGAAUAAGCAUCGGCUAAUUCCGUGCC
rnacentral:rRNA from 1 species